AUAUCAAUAAGCGGAGGAAAAGAAACCAACAGGGAUUGCCUCAGUAACGGCGAGUGAAGCGGCAACAGCUCAAAUUUGAAAUCUGGUCCCUGUGGGACCCGAGUUGUAAUUUGUAGAGGAUGCUUCGGAGUUUGUCCUUGGCCCAAGUUCCUUGGAACAGGAAGCCAGAGAGGGUGAGAGCCCCUCAAGAGGCCGAUGUCAACUCACAUGUGAAGCUCCUUCGACGAGUCGAGUUGUUUGGGAAUGCAGCUCAAAAUGGGUGGUAAAUUUCAUCUAAAGCUAAAUAUUGGCGGGAGACCGAUAGCGCACAAGUAGAGUGAUCGAAAGAUGAAAAGCACUUUGGAAAGAGAGUUAAAAAGUACGUGAAAUUGUUGAAAGGGAAGCGCUUGCGACCAGACUUGACCUCAUCUGAUCACCCGGCGUGUUUCGCCAGGGUUACUCCGUUGAGGGCAGGCCAGCAUCGGUUUAGGCGGCCGGAGAAAGGUCGUGGGAACGUGGCUCUCUUCGGGGAGUGUUAUAGCCCACGAUGCCAUGCGGCCAGCCUGGACCGAGGACCGCGCCUCGUGCUAGGAUGCUGGCGUAAUGGUUGUAAGCGA
rnacentral:rRNA from 1 species